AUAGAUGUGCUGUGUUGUUGCUGUAUGGUAAUUCCUCUGUGGAUUGGUCCUCUGCUUUGUGCUACAGUCAAAUCUCCCAACAAUAUAUACAUAUACACAAACCAAUUUACAUAGUUCGGGAAUAUAUUGUUGAGAGAUUUAACUGUAGGACAAAUCAGUGGACCAAUCCACAGAGGAAUUACCAUACAGCAACAACACAGCACAUCCAU